UUUUUUGUAUAAGUAUGUUCCAUAGAAUAUUUGGGACAUACUUAUAUAAAAA
rfam:Pan troglodytes isolate Yerkes chimp pedigree #C0471 (Clint) chromosome 9, whole genome shotgun sequence.